UACAGAGGUCUCAAGCGUUUGUUCGGAUUCAUUGGGCGUAAAGGGUGCGUAGGUGGCGCGCUAAGUCAGGUGUGAAAUUUCGGAGCUUAACUCCGAAACUGCAUUUGAUACUGGCGUGCUUGAGGACUGGAGAGGAGACUGGAAUUCAUGGUGUAGCAGUGAAAUGCGUAGAGAUCAUGAGGAAGACCAGUGGCGAAGGCGGGUCUCUGGACAGUUCCUGACACUGAGGCACAAAGGCCAGGGGAGCAAACGGG
rnacentral:rRNA from 1 species